GCCAGCCCGCUCAGAACUCAAGGAAUUGACGGGGCCCGCACAAGCGGAGGAGCAUGUGGUUUAAUUCGAUGAUACGCGAGGAACUUACCUGGGCUCGAACGUAAGAUGACUGUAGGUGAAAGCUUACAUCUCUUCGGAGCAUUUUACGAGGUGCUGCAUGGUUGUCGUCAGCUCGUGCCGUGAGGUGUCGGGUUAAGUCCCAUAACGAGCGCAACCCCUACCUUUAGUUGCCAUCAGGUAAUGCUGGGGACUCUAAAGGAACUGCCUACGCAAGUAGUGAGGAAGGCGGGGAUGACGUCAAAUCAGCACGGCCCUUACGUCCAGGGCUACACACGUGCUACAAUGGCCGAUACAGAGGGCAGCUACCUGGUGACAGGAUGCAAAUCUCCAAAGUCGGUCUCAGUUCGGAUCGGAGUCUGCAACCCGACUCCGUGAAGUUGGAUUCGCUAGUAAUCGCGCAUCAGCCAUGGCGCGGUGAAUACGUUCCCGGGCCUU
rnacentral:rRNA from 1 species